UACGUAGGGAGCAAGCGUUGUCCGGAUUUAUUGGGCGUAAAGCGCACGCAGGCGGUUUAGUCAGUCUCUACUGACAGUGUCCCGGCUCAACCGGGCAAGUGGUAGGGAAACGUGCUAAACUUGAGGGCGUUCAGAGGGAUGGGGAACUCCAGGUGGAGUGGUGAAAUGCGUAGAUAUCUGGAAGAACACCAAUGGCGAAGGCACCAUCCGUGGGAAGCAUCUGACGCUCAGGUGCGAAAGCUAAGGGGGAGCGAACGGGG
rnacentral:rRNA from 1 species